rnacentral:rRNA from 1 species
UGCCAGACUCCUACGGGAGGCAGCAGUGGGGAAUAUUGCACAAUGGGGGAAACCCUGAUGCAGCGACGCCGCGUGGAGGAAGAAGGUCUUCGGAUUGUAAACUCCUGUCCUUGGGGACGAUAAUGACGGUACCCAAGGAGGAAGCACCGGCUAACUACGUGCCAGCAGCCGCGGUAAUACGUAGGUGGCAAGCGUUGUCCGGAUUUACUGGGUGUAAAGGGCGUGUAGCCGGGCUGACAAGUCAGAUGUGAAAUCCGGGGGCUCAACCCCCGAACUGCAUUUGAAACUGUUGGUCUUGAGUAUCGGAGAGGCAGGCGGAAUUCCUAGUGUAGCGGUGAAAUGCGUAGAUAUUAGGAGGAACACCAGUGGCGAAGGCGGCCUGCUGGACGACAACUGACGGUGAGGCGCGAAAGCGUGGGGAGCAAACAGGAUUAGAUACCCUAGUAC